UUGGACAAUGGGCGCAAGCCUGAUCCAGCAAUGCCGCGUGUGUGAAGAAGGCCUUCGGGUUGUAAAGCACUUUUGUCCGGAAAGAAAUCCGUCUGGCUAAUACUCGGACGGGAUGACGGUACCGGAAGAAUAAGCACCGGCUAACUACGUGCCAGCAGCCGCGGUAAUACGUAGGGUGCGCGCGUUAAUCGGAAUUACUGGGCGUAAAGCGUGCGCAGGCGGCUUUGUAAGACAGAUGUGAAAUCCCCGGGCUCAACCUGGGAACUGCAAUUGUGACUGCAAGGCUAGAGUGCGUCAGAGGGAGGUGGAAUACCGCGUGUAGCAGUGAAAUGCAUAGAUAUCCGGAGGAACACCAGUGGCGAAAGCGGUUUUCUGGACCAAUUCUGACACUCAGAUGCGAAAGCUAAGGUAGCAAACG
rnacentral:rRNA from 1 species